rnacentral:rRNA from 1 species
UACGGGGGGGGCAAGCGUUGUUCGGAAUUACUGGGCGUAAAGGGCUCGUAGGCGGCCAACUAAGUCGGACGUGAAAUCCCUCGGCUUAACCGGGGAACUGCGUCCGAUACUGGAUGGCUUGAGUUUGGGAGAGGGAUGCGGAAUUCCAGGUGUAGCGGUGAAAUGCGUAGAUAUCUGGAGGAACACCGGUGGCGAAGGCGGCAUCCUGGGGCAAUUACUGACGCUGAGUGAGCGAAAGCGAGGGGAGCAAACGGG